rnacentral:rRNA from 1 species
GACGUAGGGUGCGAGCGUUGUCCGGAUUUAUUGGGCGUAAAGAGCUCGUAGGCGGUCUGUCGCGUCGGCUGUGAAAACCCGCGGCUCAACCUCGGGCCUGCAGUCGAUACGGGCAGACUAGAGUGCGGUAGGGGAGACUGGAAUUCCUGGUGAUAGCGGUGAAAUGCGCAGAUAUCAGGAGGAACACCGGUGGCGAAGGCGGGUCUCUGGGCCGUAACUGACGCUGGAGGAGCGAAAGCCGUGGGGAGCGAACAGG